AUUGAACGCUGGCGGCAGGCCUAACACAUGCAAGUCGAACGGUAACAGGAAACAGCUUGCUGUUUCGCUGACGAGUGGCGGACGGGUGAGUAAUGUCUGGGAAACUGCCUGAUGGAGGGGGAUAACUACUGGAAACGGUAGCUAAUACCGCAUAACGUCGCAAGACCAAAGAGGGGGACCCUCGGGCCUCUUGCCAUCGGAUGUGCCCAGAUGGGAUUAGCUUGUUGGUGGGGUAACGGCUCAUCAAGGCGACGAUCCCUAGCUGGUCUGAGAGGAUGACCAGCCACACUGGAACUGAGACACGGUCCAGACUCCUACGGGAGGCAGCAGUGGGGAAUAUUGCACAAUGGGCGCAAGCCUGAUGCAGCCAUGCCGCGUGUAUGAAGAAGGCCUUCGGGUUGUAAAGUACUUUCAGCGGGGAGGAAGGGAGUAAAGUUAAUACCUUUGCUCAUUGACGUUACCCGCAGAAGAAGCACCGGCUAACUCCGUG
rnacentral:rRNA from 1 species